UUCGCAAUGCCCGAAAGGGUGACGAAGCGACGCCGCGUGCGGGAAGAAGGCCUUCGGGUUGUAAACCGCUGUCGGGAGUUAAGAAAUGUAAGGAUGUUAAUAGCAUCUUUGCUUGACUAAGGCUCCGGAGGAAGCCACGGCUAACUCUGUGCCAGCAGCCGCGGUAAUACAGAGGCGGCAAGCGUUGUUCGGAAUUAUUGGGCGUAAAGAGCACGUAGGCGGCUAUGUAAGUCGGUUGUGAAAGCCUUCCGCUCAACGGGAGAACAGCAUCCGAUACUGCAUGGCUUGAGUGCGGGAGGGGGGAGUGGAACUUCUGGUGGAGCGGUGAAAUGCGUAGAUAUCAGAAGGAACGCCGGCGGCGAAAGCGGCUCUCUAGCCCAUAACUGACGCUGAGUGUGCGAAAGCUAGGGGAGCAAACGGGAUUAGAUACCCCGGUAGUCCUAGCCGUAAACGAUGGGCACUAAGUAGAGGGGUUUU
rnacentral:rRNA from 1 species